rnacentral:misc_RNA from 1 species
GUGUUGGGGCCCCACCGCC